UACGGAGGGUGCGAGCGUUAAUCGGAAUAACUGGGCGUAAAGGGUGCGUAGGUGGUUAAUUAAGUUAUCUGUGAAAUUCCUGGGCUCAACCUAGGGCGGUCAGAUAAGACUGGUUAACUCGAGUAUGGUAGAGGGUAGUGGAAUUUCCGGUGUAGCGGUGAAAUGCGUAGAGAUCGGAAGGAACACCAGUGGCGAAGGCGGCUACCUGGACUAAUACUGACACUGAGGCACGAAAGCGUGGGGAGCAAACAGG
rnacentral:rRNA from 1 species